CUAUGCAAGUCGAACGGAAAGGUCUCUUCGGAGACACUCGAGUGGCGAACGGGUGAGUAACACGUGGGUAAUCUGCCCUGCACUUCGGGAUAAGCCUGGGAAACUGGGUCUAAUACCGGAUAGGACCCCGAGGCGCAUGCCUUGGGGUGGAAAGCUUUUGCGGUGUGGGAUGGGCCCGCGGCCUAUCAGCUUGUUGGUGGGGUGACGGCCUACCAAGGCGACGACGGGUAGCCGGCCUGAGAGGGUGUCCGGCCACACUGGGACUGAGAUACGGCCCAGACUCCUACGGGAGGCAGCAGUGGGGAAUAUUGCACAUGGGCGCAAGCCUGAUGCAGCGACGCCGCGUGGGGGAUGACGGCCUUCGGGUUGUAAACCUCUUUCACCAUCGACGAAGGUCCGGGUUUUCUCGGAUUGACGGUAGGUGGAGAAGAAGCACCGSCCAACUACGUGCCAGCAGCCGCGGUAAUACGUAGGGUGCGAGCGUUGUCCGGAAUUACUGGGCGUAAAGAGCUCGUAGGUGGUUUGUCGCGUUGUUCGUGAAAUCUCACGGCUUAACUGUGAGCGUGCGGGCGAUACGGGCAGACUGGAGUACUGCAGGGGAGACUGGAAUUCCUGGUGUAGCGGUGGAAUGCGCAGAUAUCAGGAGGAACACCGGUGGCGAAGGCGGGUCUCUGGGCAGUAACUGACGCUGAGGAGCGAAAGCGUGGGGAGCGAACAGGAUUAGAUACCCUGGUAGUCCACGCCGUAAACGGUGGGUACUAGGUGUGGGUUUCCUUCCUUGGAAUCCGUGCCGUAGCUAACGCAUUAAGUACCCCGCCUGGGGAGUACGGCCGCAAGGCUAAAACUCAAAGGAAUUGACGGGGGCCCGCACAAGCGGCGGAGCAUGUGGAUUAAUUCGAUGCAACGCGAAGAACCUUACCUGGGUUUGACAUGCACAGGACGCCGGCAGAGAUGUCGGUUCCCUUGUGGCCUGUGUGCAGGUGGUGCAUGGCUGUCKUCAGCUCGUGUCGUGAGAUGUUGGGUUAAGUCCCGCAACGAGCGCAACCCUUAUUUCAUGUUGCCAGCGGGUAAUGCCGGGGACUCGUGAGAGACUGCCGGGGUCAACUCGGAGGAAGGUGGGGAUGACGUCAAGUCAUCAUGCCCCUUAUGUCCAGGGCUUCACACAUGCUACAAUGGCCGGUACAAAGGGCUGCGAUGCCGCAAGGUUAAGCGAAUCCUUUUAAAGCCGGUCUCAGUUCGGAUCGGGGUCUGCAACUCGACCCCGUGAAGUCGGAGUCGCUAGUAAUCGCAGAUCAGCAACGCUGCGGUGAAUACGUUCCCGGGCCUUGUACACACCGCCCGUCACGUCAUGAAAGUCGGUAACACCCGAAGCCAGGGCCUAACCCUGGGAGGGAGCA
rnacentral:rRNA from 1 species